rnacentral:rRNA from 1 species
UACGGAGGGUGCAAACGUUGCUCGGAAUUAUUGGGCGGAAAGCGUACGUAGGCGGUCCAGCAAGUCGGGUGUGAAAGCCCUUGGCUUAACCAAGGAAGUGCAUUCGAAACUACUGGACUUGAAUACUGGAGAGGAUCGCGGAAUUCCCGGUGUAGAGGUGAAAUUCGUAGAUAUCGGGAGGAACACCAGUGGCGAAGGCGGCGAUCUGGACAGAUAUUGACGCUGAUGUACGAAAGCGUGGGGAGCAAACAGG